AGAGGAGUGCAGACCUCAAAACAGCCCUUAAAGCUGUGGCCUGAGUUGUGGUUUCCAGCUCCAAGAUGGAGUCACCUCACAAAUUCUGUCUCCACCCGAGAGGGCUGGAAAAGCAGAGACCUGCUUUGGCAAAGCCACCUGCUCCGCUGCAAACUGACCCCUGCAGGAACUCCUGUGACCCACUGGCUGCUUGCAGCAACCCCUUUGGCUCAAGCCCUUGUGAUCUGUCCCUCGUGCUGGGGACAGAAAGCAGCGAGGAGAAACAGCACUUGCAGAAACCACCUCUCUGGUUACGAAAUGCACCACCCCUCCAUGUCUCCCUCUGCCACUGCUGUCCCAGCACUUCCAAGAAGCCCAGGGCUGCUGGAAACAUUCUUUCUGCGUGUCUGACCUGCACUGACUGCAUUGCAGUUGGCGUACGUGGGCUAUUACAGCUGCCAAGCUCAACAAUAACAAUGUAUUAACAAGCAAGGUGCCGGGGUUGGACUGCCUGCUCCCUCUCCUUCCAGUUAAACCCAAUUUUUCCAAGCCCAGA